UAAACCCGGAGGAAGUUGGGGAGGAGGUCAAAUCAUCAUGCCCCUUAUGCCCUGGGUUACACACUUGUUCCAAUGGCCGGUCAAAAGGGUGCCAAACCGGGAGGGGGAAGGAAAUCCCAAAAAGCCGGUCUCAGUUCGGAUCGCAGGCUGCACCCCGC
rnacentral:rRNA from 1 species